CGAAUUAAUUCCAACACCUAAUAUAACCGGUGUACCUGACAGUUUUCCCGAAAAACAUGAUAAGAAUUGCCAUUGAAAAAUUGACAGCAGGAAAUGAAAAUAUUUUAACUCCAAUUAUUAUCCCAGAAUUAGAAGAUAGCUAUUACAAAUGAAAGUGAAUUGAACAAUGGAGAAAAUUUCAUUGAACAGAACGCAAUAGAUGUCAUGUACAUCAUCAUCACAAGUAAAUAGAACACAAAUCAGACCGAGUGAAUGCAGA